UCUCUUCCUUUCUCUGCAGCUAUAGAACUUACCCCAGUAAUAUUCACAUACGUAUUAUACUCCAAAAUUGUUCCCUUUCUUUUCUUUUUUAUUCUUAAUACGUUGCACGACUUUUCUAGCUGCCCUUCGUCUUCCUCUUUCUUUUAUUUAAUGCCUCCUGUCAUUUGGUUCUCCAUUUCUCUCCCUUCACUUUUGAGAGUUCUAGAGCAAAGAACAAGCCAAGUUGGGGUUUGUUUUCUCACCCUUUUUGUUUGAUUUCUUUUCCCUUUGUUAAGAUCUUGUUCAUAAAGUUAUGGGGAGAAAGAGGAGGGACA